GCCUUUUUGAUAUCUCAGUCAGGGCUUUAUUACUUAUCCUCAGUAAGAUCAGUCAACGCAUACCAGUUCUGCAGUCCCAUGUGAUUUGCACCAAGUCCCUUUCUUUAUUUCCAGAGAAAUAAAGAAAUUAAUAGUCAUCCUUCCAAGGUUGUUAUCAUCAACUUGCUGAACCACAGCUUAAUUUCUUAAGAAAAUGAUAUCUUUGUAUUGAUCCCACCAUUUACAUUUAUUCUUGGUGCAGUGAAUAACAUGUUUGGUAACACUGUCUGUAGAGGAUGAGCUAAGGCAUACUGGCUUUCAGAGAGAAGCAUGUCAUCGCACAGAGAGAUGUGAAGUGGCUCUGAAUAUUUCUGUUCAGAAGCAUCUGUGGUGCUGGCCUUUGUCAUGCAGUGCACAGUGAUGUGCUCAUGGCCCCUGGCCCACAGCGGAGAUAACAGCUCCUUCCCUGAAGGUCUGCCCG
rnacentral:lncRNA from 1 species